CCCUUAGAUGUCCUGGGCCGCACGCGCGCUACACUGAGUGUCUGAGAUACGAGUCUGCUUGGUCCGGCAAGGUCUAGGUAAUCGCUAAAAGACACAUCAUGCUUGGGAUAGAUUAUUGCAAAUAUUAAUCUUGAACGAGGAAUUCCUAGUAAGCGCAAGUCAACAGCUUGCGUUGAUUACGUCCCUGCCCUUUGUACACACCGCCCGUCGCUACUACUGAUUGGAUGUUUAAGCGAGGUUCUCGAACUGCUAGCGACUUAGCUUCGGUGAGGUCGCAGUGUGGGAAGUGAACCUAGCUUUGGUGUCUAGAGGAAGUAAAAGUCGUAACA
rnacentral:rRNA from 1 species